rnacentral:lncRNA from 1 species
CCAGGGCACCCCCCUUUAAAUACUUAGCGAUGGGUUGACUUCGAAAAUUUUUCGUGCCCCUUCCACGUGCCAUCUCGCAUCCAUCAGAAAAUCUCAUACCUCCUGAUAAAUUUUCAUGCCCAUAUAAAAGAUUUUGACACAUGGCAAUCAUCAGAAAAAAAUCCAAGAGAUGCUUCAUGCAGAAGGACUCUUCAGAAUGUUUUUCUCGAUGAUUCUCUGAUGCGUCGCGCAGCUUCCCAUGGCAUA